AAGACCUUGCGCUUUUGGAGCGGCCGAUGCCUGAUUAGCUUGUUGGUAAGGUAAAGGCUUACCAAGGCUUCGAUCAGUAGCUGGUCUGAGAGGACGGCCAGCCACACUGGGACUGAGACACGGCCCAGACUCCUACGGGAGGCAGCAGUGGGGAAUUUUGGACAAUGGGGGAAACCCUGAUCCAGCCAUGCCGCGUGAGUGAAGAAGGCCUUCGGGUUGUAAAGCUCUUUCAGCCGGAACGAAACGGUUACGGAUAAUACCCGUGACUACUGACGGUACCGGAAGAAGAAGCACCGGCUAACUACGUGCCAGCAGCCGCGGUAAUACGUAGGGUGCGAGCGUUAAUCGGAAUUACUGGGCGUAAAGCGUGCGCAGGUGGUUUUGUAAGUCAGAUGUGAAAGCCCCGAGCUCAACCUGGGAACU
rnacentral:rRNA from 1 species